CUGGCGAGCUUUCUGGACUCCCAGGAAAGACAGAUUUGACAGCUGCAGGGGAGUCUGACCGCCUUCUCCACUCAAGAGGAGGCCAAGAGGGAACAACUAUGAAGACCUCAAGUACCAGCAGGCCCAGCUGAAGGGCAAGAUUCGGGUUCUUGCAAUGGAGAAGGCGGCCUUGAAGCUCCAGGCGAGAAAGCUCAAGACAUCCAAGCUCCUGCCAAAACAACUGCCGCAGAACAUACAGAAAUGCCAAGAGAACCAAGGCUUCAGCAAGAGUCCCUGCUUUCCAUUGUUUUAUCAAGCAGAAAAGUAUUGUGGCAGUAAGAUCAUGGACAUCUGAGAUGUGGGGCCCAGGGCUCUGCCCCCUCCCAGUUCCUGCUACCCUGCCCUUGCCACCAUGUCUCUGCCACCCUGCCCCUGUCCCAGCCACUCCUUCCCAGUCACCCUUUUAUCAUGUUAAGACCCCUGUU